rnacentral:rRNA from 1 species
GCUACGGGGUGCAGCAGUGAGGAAUAUUGGUCAAUGGCCGUAAGGCUGAACCAGCCAAGUAGCGUGAGGGAAGACUGCCCUAUGGGUUGUAAACCUCUUUUAUGCGGGGAUAAAGGUGUCCACGUGUGGAUGUUUGCAGGUACCGCAUGAAUAAGGACCGGCUAAUUCCGUGCCAGCAGCCGCGGUAAUACGGAAGGUCCGGGCGUUAUCCGGAUUUAUUGGGUUUAAAGGGAGCGUAGGCCGGUCUUUAAGCGUGCCGUGAAAUUUUGUGGCUCAACCAUGAGAGUGCAGCGCGAACUGGAGACCUUGAGUGCGCGGAAGGCAGGCGGAAUUCGUGGUGUAGCGGUGAAAUGCUUAGAUAUCACGAAGAACCCCGAUUGCGAAGGCAGCCUUCCGGCGCCCUACUGACGCUGAGGCACGAAAGUGCGGGGAUCGAACAGGAUUAGAUACCCGAGUAGUC